UACGUAGGGGCCUAGCGUUGUCCGGAAUCAUUGGGCGUAAAGAGCGUGUAGGCGGCUUGUUAAGUCUUGCGUGAAAUCUCGGGGCUCAACCCCGAGCGGUCGUGAGAAACUGGCAGGCUAGAGUGCGGGAGAGGAGAGUGGAAUUCCUGGUGUAGCGGUGAAAUGCGCAGAUAUCAGGAAGAACACCGGUGGCGAAGGCGGUUCUCUGGGCCUUACCUGACGCUGAGGAGCGAAAGCGUGGGGGGCAAACAGG
rnacentral:rRNA from 1 species